rnacentral:rRNA from 1 species
GACGAACGCUGGCUGCGUGCUUAACACAUGCAAGUCGAACGCUGAAGCCAGAAGCUUGCUUCUGGUGGAUGAGUGGCGAACGGGUGAGUAACACGUGAGUAACCUGCCCCUGAUUUCGGGAUAAGCCUGGGAAACCGGGUCUAAUACCGGAUACGACCACCUGACGCAUGUCGGGUGGUGGAAAGUUUUUCGAUCGGGGAUGGGCUCGCGGCCUAUCAGCUUGUUGGUGGGGUAAUGGCCUACCAAGGCGACGACGGGUAGCCGGCCUGGGAGGGCGACCGGCCACACUGGGACUGAGACACGGCCCAGACUCCUACGGGAGGCAGCAGUGGGGAAUAUUGCACAAUGGGGGAAACCCUGAUGCAGCGACGCAGCGUGCGGGAUGACGGCCUUCGGGUUGUAAACCGCUUUCAGCAGGGAAGAAGCGAAAGUGACGGUACCUGCAGAAGAAGUACCGGCUAACUACGUGCCAGCCGCCGCAGUAA